GAGUGAGGAUGAGAUUAAGAGAGAGGAUGAGAGGAAUGAGUAACAAAAGUGAAAACAAAAACUUGAAAGUGAAAACAAAUUGAAAUAGAUUUCAGUUUUUAGUUUUUGUUUUCACUUUGGUUACUCAUCUCUCCUUUCAUCUCCUCCUAUCUUCCCUCUCAAUCUCAUCUCCACUCU
rnacentral:snoRNA from 1 species